UACGUAGGGUGCAAGCGUUGUUCGGAAUCAUUGGGCGUAAAGCGCGUGUAGGUGGUUUGUUAAGUCGAUUGUGAAAUCCCUGGGCUCAACCGAGGAAGUGCAGUCGAAACUAACUGACUAGAAGAUGGUAGAGGAAGGUGGAAUUCCAAGUGUAGAGGUGAAAUUCGUAGAUAUUUGGAGGAAUACCGGCGGCGAAGGCGGCCUUCUGGGCCAUUCUUGACACUGAGACGCGAAAGCGUGGGUAGCAAACAGG
rnacentral:rRNA from 1 species